AACACAUGCAAGUCGAGGGGCGAGCAUGAAGUCAGCUUGCUGGCUUGAUGGCGACCGGCGCACGGGUGCGUAACACGUAUCCAAUCUACCCAACUUGCUCGGGAAUAGACCUUUCGAAAGAAAGAUUAAUGCCCGAUGGUCUCAAUCCAGGGCAUCCUGUUUUGAGUAAAGAUUCAUCGGCGAUGGAUGGGGAUGCGUCCGAUUAGCUGGUUGGCGGGGCAACGGCCCACCAAGGCGACGAUCGGUAGGGGUUCUGAGAGGAAGGUCCCCCCACACUGGAACUGAGACACGGUCCAGACUCCUACGGGAGGCAGCAGUGAGGAAUAUUGGUCAAUGGUCGAGAGACUGAACCAGCCAAGUAGGCGUGAGGGAUGGCGGCCCUAUGGGUUGUAAACCUCUUUUGUUUGGGAAUAAAGUGCGGGACGUGUCCCGCUUUGUAUGUACCAUACGAAUAAGCAUCGGCUAAUUCCGUGCCAGCCGCCGC
rnacentral:rRNA from 1 species